rnacentral:rRNA from 1 species
UACGGAGGGUGCAAGCGUUAAUCGGAAUUAUUGGGCGUAAAGAGCUCGUAGGCGGCCUGUUGCGUCCGCUGUGAAAUCCCGGGGCUUAACCCCGGGCUUGCAGUGGAUACGGGCAGGCUGGAGGCAGGCAGGGGAGAACGGAAUUCCCGGUGUAGCGGUGAAAUGCGCAGAUAUCGGGAGGAACACCGGUGGCGAAGGCGGUUCUCUGGGCCUGUACUGACGCUGAGGAGCGAAAGCGUGGGGAGCGAACAGG